ACUACACGAAGCUGGAAUCGCUAGUAAUCGCGAAUCAGAAUGUCGCGGUGAAUACGUUCCCGGAUCUUGUACACACCGCCCGUCACACCAUGGGAGUCGGGAAUGCCCGAAGUCAGUGACCCAACCUAUAGGAGGGAGCUGCCGAAGGCAGGUCUGAUAACUGGGGUGAAGUCGUAACAAGGUAAC
rnacentral:rRNA from 1 species